ACUCAGCUCACCGCAACCUCCACCUCCUGGGUUCAAGUGAUUCUCCUGCCUCAGACUCCCGAGUAGCUGGGAUUACAGGCGCCUGCCACCAUGCCCAGCUAAUUUUUGUAAUUUUAGUAGAGACAGGGUUUCACCAGGUUAGCCAGGCUGGUCUCGAACUCUUGACCUCAGGUGAUCCACCCGCCUCGGCCUCCCAAAGUGCUGGGAUUACAGGCGUGAGCCACCACGCCCGGCCCCCAUUAUUCGCAAUGUAUUUAUUUGCUCAAUGAAACUGAUAUGUAACCUAAGUCCAGGCCCUUGGCCCAGUUCUGAAGCCCAGGAAGUGCAAGAUCCAGGCACUUGCGUCUCGUAUGUGCCUUACUGUGUCCUCACAUGGUGGAAGUCAGAAGGGCAAGAGCGGAUGAAUUCUGAAUCCUCACAUGACAGUAGAUCAGAAGAGGGUGAACCCACCCCCAUACAUCCUUUUCAUAAUGGCCUAAUCCAUCCAUGACCUAGCCACCUUCCCAAAGGCCACACCUCCCAACACUGUUGCAUUAGAGAUUAAGUUUCCAACACAUGAAUUUUGAAAGGGAACACAUUAAAACCAUAGCAAGGAGAAAAUAAAAAAAAGGCCAGGUUGGUCUCAGACAGGCAAGCCCCAUCUUUCCUGGUGUCUCAGCACAAACAUGAGCCCUAAACAUAACAUGCCUAUCUAUUCCUCUCCCCUAAGUUACAGACCCACAUUUUCAGUGUUCUAUAGGACAUCCCCGUAA
rnacentral:lncRNA from 1 species